AAUUUUUACUCUCCCCAUUUUCACAUUUCUUGUGUUUUCAUCUUUGAUUUUCUUCGAAACUUGUUUCAAUUCUUUAACUCGGGGGUUUUUUACAAGCUUCAAUUAUUGUUCAGUAUCAGAGAAAAUUUGCGAUUUUGACUUCUUUAGAGUAUUCAAAGUGAUUUUUCGUUGAGGUAAGAACCACGGGCUUUCUUCUUCUUCUUCUUCUUUGAUUCAUCGAUCUCUCUCGCUGUUCUUCUUGUUACACAGAGAGAUAUAAAGAGAGAAAUUGAGCUUUCUGGUUCUUUAGAGGGAGAGGUUUGAGAGUGGUAAUGGCGAGUGGAGGAGGGUACGGAGAUCCGAGCCAGAAGAUAGACUACGUGUUCAAGGUUGUGCUGAUUGGGGAUUCCGCUGUGGGGAAAUCGCAAAUACUCGCUCGAUUUGCAAGGAAUGAGUUCAAUUUAGACUCUAAGGCUACUAUCGGAGUUGAGUUUCAGACUAGGACCUUGGUUAUUCAGCACAAGAGCGUCAAGGCCCAGAUCUGGGAUACUGCUGGCCAAGAACGGUACUUCUUUACACUUGUAUAUGCAUAAGAAAACUGUUCCUGAAUUAACUUGUGGGAUUUUGUUAUAUUUGGAAAAUUUACUGUCUUUUAUUUGGAGAUUUGAUUGAUAUAUGUGCCGAAAUCAAUUUUACCAAUUAUAAUGUAGUUCUAGAAUGUAACCAUCUGUUCUUUUCGAUUUGUGAUUUCUAGUUUUUUAAUGGAAAUUAUAAAUAUUUUUGUGAUUAUUUAAUGGCAUAGUUUUGCAUUUUAGUGAAUUGUAUAUGUUUUAUGCUGGAUCCAUGUCAGGACUCAGGACCAUAUCAACAGUUGUUAGGACCUUACCUUUGUGUGCAACAAGUGAUUCCUCUUGAUACUUUUGAUCUCUGCCCCGAGUCUCUCACCCAACCAACUCGCCCGACACUAAGUUUAUCUUCCUUUUCCUUUGCUAGUGUGAUUGAAAAAGGUUUCCUUUUGUAUUUAUGUCAUGUUGAAAAAGCAAAUACUUGCCCUGCUUAAAGUCACUUUGGUUCUUGGAGGGUUCUCAGCAUUAUGCAAGUUCUCAUAUGUUCAUCCUAUUGUCGCAAAUCCAUUAUAUGUAUGAGGCUUCUCCUUCUAGGGUCUAGGCUAGUUUAAAAUGUUUUGUGCGUAUCAUAUUAAUUUCAUUUACUUGAGUGCUUAUGAUAACACAGUUUUUAAAUGGUGGGCACUUGGGAGUUCCUAAGAAUAUGUGCGUUCUAUUGUUUGAAUUUGGGUUGGCAAUAUGAACAAUUCUUUACCACUUAAAAGUAUAUUCUUUCUAAACAGGUGAUUUCUUUUAUUAGUGGGAAAUAUCUAUGAGGCUAUGAGCCAUCCCAUUGUUUUUGAUUAUUAUGAAAUAUCUUGUGUACAUCACAAUCUACACAGCUGGACAUCAUCAGGAGAAUUGACUGAUUCUUUUUCUAACCAUCCUAUGGGAAUCGUGGAUAAUUAAAUAAUAUGCCAAUUAAAAAUUAUAAAAAAAGAAAUGAAACGUCUAAAUCUUCCUCUUUUUUUUGGUGUAUAUCAUGAUAAUCAAGAUUUUUCCUUCUUAUUUUGUGCUCGUGGUUUAAUGAGCAGAUAUAGAGCAGUAACAAGUGCGUAUUAUAGGGGUGCUGUUGGAGCAAUGCUGGUGUAUGACAUAACCAAACGUCAAACCUUUGAUCACAUACCCCGUUGGCUGGAAGAGCUGCGUAGCCAUGCUGACAAAAACAUUGUUAUAAUUCUGAUUGGGAACAAAUGCGAUCUUGAGAACCAAAGGGUGGUCCCCACUGAAGAUGCUAAGGAAUUUGCCGAAAAGGAAGGACUAUUCUUUUUAGAGACCUCUGCAUUGGAAUCAACUAAUGUCGAGACUGCCUUCUUGACAGUGUUGACCGAGAUAUUUAACAUUGUAAACAAAAAGACUCUAACUGGUGCAGAAAAUCAAACAAAUGGCAACCCUGCAUCCUUGUCAGGCAAGAAAAUCAUCAUUCCAGGCCCUGGACAAGAAAUUCCAGCAAAAAGCAAGAUGUGUUGUAGCUCAUUAUAAUUUGAUCAGACACGGAUUUGAAAAAUGUGGUUUUUCUGUUCUAUUCUCCUAAUAGCAAUUUUUGGAAGGUGUGAUGCGUUAUGUUGUAAAUUUUCCAUUGCUGUAGUUUAGUUUGAAUGAGCAGCUGAUUAAUUGCAUGUUCAAAAUUGAGCUGAAUUCUGUGUUAUCUUUUGAUUGGUUUCUAAGUAGCAUUCUGUUUCUGAA
rnacentral:misc_RNA from 1 species